GUCGGCGUUAGUUUUGUGCCGGGCGGGUGCGGCUAUGUGCGGAACUUAAUCUGGGAGCGGGCGGCUUUGCAUGCGUGCGGGUCAGCCUGUUUUCCUUCCGCGUCCCCAAGUCAGGCGU
rnacentral:rRNA from 1 species